GCCCAGCUAGCUCAGUCGGUAGAGCAUAAGACUCUUAAUCUCAGGGUUGUGGAUUCGUGCCCCAUGCUGGGUG
rnacentral:tRNA from 2 species